rnacentral:rRNA from 1 species
GACGAACGCUGGCGGCGUGCUUAACACAUGCAAGUCGAACGGAAAGGCCCUGCUUUUGUGGGGUGCUCGAGUGGCGAACGGGUGAGUAACACGUGAGUAACCUGCCCUUGACUUUGGGAUAACUUCAGGAAACUGGGGCUAAUACCGGAUAGGAGCUCCUGCUGCAUGGUGGGGGUUGGAAAGUUUCGGCGGUUGGGGAUGGACUCGCGGCUUAUCAGCUUGUUGGUGGGGUAGUGGCUUACCAAGGCUUUGACGGGUAGCCGGCCUGAGAGGGUGACCGGGCACAUUGGGACUGAGAUACGGACCAGACUCCUACGGGAGGCAGCAGUGGGGAAUAUUGCACAAUGGGCGGAAGCGUGAUGCAGCAACGCCGCGUGCGGGAUGACGGCCUUCGGGUUGUAAACCGCUUUCGCCUGUGACGAAGCGUGAGUGACGGUAAUGGGUAAAGAAGCACCGGCUAACUACGUG